rnacentral:lncRNA from 1 species
GGGACAAUGGAUGAAAUUAGGAUUCGAUCAUGACGCUGAGCAGCAAUGCAGCAACCCUAGGUCUAAAACCAAAUCAUUUGGGGGGCAGUCAGAGAACAAGUUGGAGAGAGAAUACUAGAAUUCCUCAGUUUCCACACAGAUUACAACAAUGAACUAAAUGGUGAACAGAAAUAACUAGAGGUGUAAAUAACGGAAUUUAUAACAGCCUGAGUUCAAAUUACCAUGUCUAGAAG